GGAACAUGGGAGGGCAAUCUAGCUAUGACGUCUGUCACCCCAUUGAUCACCAGGGUUGAUUCGGUAGAUAUGGCUGGCUAGGCGAGUGUCCUCUUCCUCCCUCACCACUCCAUGUGUGUCUCUCCUGAAGCUGUGUGCUUGGUCAAAGAGGAUGAACUAGAGGAGGACCAGUCUUCAGUCAAGGGAUUAUGAGUAGCUGCACUCCUCUGCCAGAAUCUUCACACAAGCUCUCAAAGUGAAGAGGCAACUGACAGAAUGGAGAAAAUAUUGCAAACUAUGCAACUGAUGAAUCAUUCAUAUCCAGGAUAUUUAAGGAGUU
rnacentral:snRNA from 1 species